UGCAGCUCUGCUUUGCCACUAAUGGUUAAUUUCCAUGUAUCUUCGAGCAGACCGCUUGGCUUUGGUCAAUACUUUUGAAGAUACUUUUGGUGACAUAUAUGGUGGUGGUGUCUGGAGUGAACUCAGUGAAACAGCUUCUUCUAACAUAUCUCAAAAUGUUGUCUCGCUUUUGCUUCAUUCUAUGGGGAAAAAAGGAUUUCUGCAUGCACAGGUUCUUUUAUUGAAUGGAAUGGAUGUGCGACUAUUCUAACUUCGGCUAGCUUGGUCUCACAUUUCGUUGGUGACAAGAAGAUUGCUGAAAACUUGAGAGUUGAUCGAAGUGUUGCUUCCAAAUAAAGAGCGCAGAGGAGGGGCAUUACAGCAUUAUAAUUUGCAUUACAAUGUUGCUCUAGUCAAUGUCAAGGAUUUCAGUGCUCCUCAUCCAGUAAAUAUUCAACCGCAGAGGAGUAAUUAUUCUUCUGAAUUAGUAGCCAUAGGGUGUUGCUUUAAAUCUGGCAUGUUAAUGGCUGCAAGAGGGCAACAUACAGAGAUGUUGGGCAGCUUUGAUUGCAAAUUACUUAAAUGCUCCACAUG